UCGGUAUACCCUAAGGGGUGGGAUUGUCGGUUAGCACCGACGGAUGAUUAUAGUUUACUCAGUUCCACUGUUUGUAUGUUUGUGACCUAGUCAGUCAGCUUCAUGAGUCCCGUCGUCGAUGACCUUUGAGGUCGGUGUACCCUGAGGGGUAGGAUUGUCAGCUGGUGCUGACGGUAGUUCUGGACUAUAUCGAAUACACUCCUGUGACCUAUCGGUCGGUUCUUGCGUUCGUACCUUUAGUUGACAUUGAGCAGUAUCUACAUACUAUCUUUAUUUACUCUGCCUGGUUGUUCUAUGUGUAGUAUCCUGUAUAGGGGUAGAGUAGAUGGCAUUCGUAUAUACUAUACUUGUGACCUGGUUGGUCGGUUCUCCUGUUUGCAUCGGUGACCUGUUUGGUCGUUCGUUACUUUCCGUAUAUUGACCUAUCUUGGUCGGUUCACGUUGUUACUUGAUGACCUACACGGUCGGUUAGCCCCGAGGGGCGGUGAUUGUCGGCUGAUUGCCGAUGGUUGGCUAUUGAUCAUAUCUGCAUUGAUCGCCACAGCUCGAGUGCAUUUCACGUACACCAGCAGGUUGAUCCCCCGCAGGAGGGUGUUCUUUUUCGGAAAAGUGGUCGUACAUCCGACCCGUGAGCCCAGCGGUGUUCUCUCUGUGCUAGGGUUACAUGCCAGGUGUGAGCAGGUAGUGGCUUUUGCCUGAGGUCCUUAGACCGACACGGCGGUUUAGAUUGGGUACUUUUGGACUACUGUCCGGUUGACGCAUAUAGUUAUAGUAGCGGUUGUUGCAUGUAUACUUGUAGUUCCUUCUUUACACUUGUCUUGCUACUAUAGUUUGAUAUCCCUGUAUGUAUGCUUUUCGUUCUAUUUACAGUAGCGGUAGUUGUUCUCUCAUAUCUAUAUCUCAUUCGUCAUUAUCGUUGCUACUGUAUUUCACUUACCCAUAUGCUAUUGUUUAUCUUCCUGAUCCGGUGAGUACUCCUCGCCCUCGUCGGCUUGCGGUACCCACUGGGAGGGGAGACAUGUUUACAUGUUCUCACCUCCCCCACCAUUUUUCAGGUAUUGCAGGCGUUGAGUUUUGGGACGAGACGUGAGGUACGUUCGUAGCGGUCGAUAGAGCUUCCGACCCAGGUUAUCGGUUUAGUUUUAUCCCUACUAUUCUGUUGUUAUAGCUUAGUCAGUUUAUAUGGUUCAGUAUUUUUAUUACAUUGGAAUAUGUGGACUUUCAUGAAUGUAAUAAAAGGAUUUCUGGAUUUGGUAAAAUAAAAAGUUUUCUACCCCUCGUGGUAGCUUUUAUAAAAGAUAAAAGUUUUCGCUUAUGGAACAGUUUUCAAAAGUUUUUUCGUGGACUUUUGUUUAAACAUCGAAUGUAAAACUACGGUGUGAAUGGUGAAUGUAUGAAUGUAUAGCUAUCUGUAUAUUCAUUUAGCUGUGGUUGUAUACUGUUUGUACUUUUGUACUUGUGUGACGCCGUGCAAAUAUAGGGGAGACUUUGUCCGUGUGAACAGUGGAUUCCCUGUAUUUGUGGCGGAUCUGGCAUACUCUGGGGUCAGGUUUUCAAAAAAAAAAAAUUUAAACGCUUUU
rnacentral:lncRNA from 1 species